UAGUCCACGCCGUAAACGAUGAUCACUCGCUGUUUGCGAUAUACAGUAAGCGGCUAAGCGAAAGCGAUAAGUGAUCCACCUGGGGAGUACGAUCACAAGGUUGAAACUCAAAGGAAUUGACGGGGGCCCGCACAAGCGGAGGAACAUGUGGUUUAAUUCGAUGAUACGCGAGGAACCUUACCUGGGCUUAAAUGGGGAGUGACAGCUGGCGAAAGUUGGUUUUCUUCGGACACUCUUCAAGGUGCUGCAUGGUUGUCGUCAGCUCGUGCCGUGAGGUGUCGGGUUAAGUCCCAUAACGAGCGCAACCCUUACUGUUAGUUGCCAGCGGGUCAAGCCGGGAACUCUAACGGGACUGCCACCGUAAGGUGAGAGGAAGGUGGGGAUGACGUCAAAUCAGCACGGCCCUUAUGUCCAGGGCUACACACGUGUUACAAUGGUCGGUACAAAGGGCAGCUACACCGCGAGGUGAUGCUAAUCUCUAAAGCCGGUCUCAGUUCGGAUCGAAGUCUGCAACCCGACUUCGUGAAGUUGGAUUCGCUAGUAAUCGCGCA
rnacentral:rRNA from 1 species